UGCAGUCGAGCGGAUGAAGGGAGCUUGCUCCUGGAUUCAGCGGCGGACGGGUGAGUAAUGCCUAGGAAUCUGCCUGGUAGUGGGGGAUAACGUCCGGAAACGGGCGCUAAUACCGCAUACGUCCUGAGGGAGAAAGUGGGGGAUCUUCGGACCUCACGCUAUCAGAUGAGCCUAGGUCGGAUUAGCUAGUUGGUGGGGUAACGGCCUACCAAGGCGACGAUCCGUAACUGGUCUGAGAGGAUGAUCAGUCACACUGGAACUGAGACACGGACCAGACUCCUACGGGAGGCAGCAGUGGGGAAUAUUGGACAAUGGGCGAAAGCCUGAUCCAGCCAUGCCGCGUGUGUGAAGAAGGUCUUCGGAUUGUAAAGCACUUUAAGUUGGGAGGAAGGGCAGUAAGUUAAUACCUUGCUGUUUUGACGUUACCAACAGAAUAAGCACCGGCUAACUUCGUGCCAGCAGCCGCGGUAAUACGAAGGGUGCAAGCGUUAAUCGGAAUUACUGGGCGUAAAGCGCGCGUAGGUGGUUCAGCAAGUUGGAUGUGAAAUCCCCGGGCUCAACCUGGGAACUGCAUCCAAAACUACUGAGCUAGAGUACGGUAGAGGGUGAUGGAAUUUCCUGUGUAGCGGUGAAAUGCGUAUAUAUAGGAAGGAACACCAGUGUCGAAGGCGACCACCUGGACUGAUACUGACACUGACGUGCGAAAGCG
rnacentral:rRNA from 1 species